rnacentral:rRNA from 2 species
CUGCGUGUUGGGUGGGGCUUGCAUCAUGAUUUACAUUUGAGUGAGUGGCGAACUGGUGAGUAACACGUGGGAAACCUGCCCAGAAGCGGGGGAUAACACCUGGAAACAGAUGCUAAUACCGCAUAACAACUUGGACCGCAUGGUCCGAGUUUGAAAGAUGGCUUCGGCUAUCACUUUUGGAUGGUCCCGCGGCGUAUUAGCUAGAUGGUGGGGUAACGGCUCACCAUGGCAAUGAUACGUAGCCGACCUGAGAGGGUAAUCGGCCACAUUGGGACUGAGACACGGCCCAAACUCCUACGGGAGGCAGCAGUAGGGAAUCUUCCACAAUGGACGAAAGUCUGAUGGAGCAACGCCGCGUGAGUGAAGAAGGGUUUCGGCUCGUAAAACUCUGUUGUUAAAGAAGAACAUAUCUGAGAGUAACUGUUCAGGUAUUGACGGUAUUUAACCAGAAAGCCACGGCUAACUACGUGCCAGCAGCCGCGGUAAUACGUAGGUGGCAAGCGUUGUCCGGAUUUAUUGGGCGUAAAGCGAGCGCAGGCGGUUUUUUAAGUCUGAUGUGAAAGCCUUCGGCUCAACCGAAGAAGUGCAUCGGAAACUGGGAAACUUGAGUGCAGAAGAGGACAGUGGAACUCCAUGUGUAGCGGUGAAAUGCGUAGAUAUAUGGAAGAACACCAGUGGCGAAGGCGGCUGUCUGGUCUGUAACUGACGCUGAGGCUCGAAAGUAUGGGUAGCAAACAGGAUUAGAUACCCUGGUAGUCCAUACCGUAAACGAUGAAUGCUAAGUGUUGGAGGGUUUCCGCCCUUCAGUGCUGCAGCUAACGCAUUAAGCAUUCCGCCUGGGGAGUACGGCCGCAAGGCUGAAACUCAAAGGAAUUGACGGGGGCCCGCACAAGCGGUGGAGCAUGUGGUUUAAUUCGAAGCUACGCGAAGAACCUUACCAGGUCUUGACAUACUAUGCAAAUCUAAGAGAUUAGACGUUCCCUUCGGGGACAUGGAUACAGGUGGUGCAUGGUUGUCGUCAGCUCGUGUCGUGAGAUGUUGGGUUAAGUCCCGCAACGAGCGCAACCCUUAUUAUCAGUUGCCAGCAUUAAGUUGGGCACUCUGGUGAGACUGCCGGUGACAAACCGGAGGAAGGUGGGGAUGACGUCAAAUCAUCAUGCCCCUUAUGACCUGGGCUACACACGUGCUACAAUGGAUGGUACAACGAGUUGCGAACUCGCGAGAGUAAGCUAAUCUCUUAAAGCCAUUCUCAGUUCGGAUUGUAGGCUGCAACUCGCCUACAUGAAGUCGGAAUCGCUAGUAAUCGCGGAUCAGCAUGCCGCGGUGAAUACGUUCCCGGGC